rnacentral:rRNA from 1 species
GACUACUGGGGUAUCUAAGCCCGUUCGCUCCCCUAGCUUUCGCGCCUCAGCGUCAGACAUCGUCCAGAAAGUCGCCUUCGCCACUGGUGUUCUUCCAAAUCUCUACGCAUUUCACCGCUACACUUGGAAUUCCACUUUCCUCUCCGACACUCAAGAAUACCAGUUUCUGUCCCCUCACGAGGUUGAGCCUCGCACUUUUAAGACAGACUUGAUAUCCCGCCUGCGCGCGCUUUACGCCCAAUAAUUCCGGACAACGCUUGCCACCUACGUAUUACCGCGGCUGCUGGCACGUAGUUAGCCGUGGCUUCUUAUUCAGGUACCGUCACUAUCUCUCAUUAUUUACAAGAAAUACGUUCGUCCCUGACGAAAGAGCUUUACGAUCCGAAAACCUUCUUCACUCACGCGGCGUUGCUCCGUCAGACUUUCGUCCAUUGCGGAAGAUUCCCCACUGCAGCCUCCCGUAGG